GGGAAACUGGGUGUAAUACCGUAUACGUCCUCAGGGAGAAAGAUUUAUCGCCGAAGGAUUGGCCCGCGUUAGAUUAGGUAGUUGGUGGGGUAAAAGCCUACCAAGCCUACGAUCUAUAGCUGGUUUGAGAGGAUGAUCAGCCACACUGGGACUGAGACACGGCCCAGACUCCUACGGGAGGCAGCAGUGGGGAAUUUUCCGCAAUGGGCGAAAGCCUGACGGAGCAAUACCGCGUGAGGGAAGACUGCCUAUGGGUUGUAAACCUCUUUUUUCAGGGAGGAAUAAAAUGACGUGUACCUGAAGAAUAAGCAUCGGCUAACUCCGUGCCAGCAGCCGCGGUAAUACGGAGGGGGCUAGCGUUGUUCGGAAUUACUGGGCGUAAAGCG
rnacentral:rRNA from 11 species